rnacentral:rRNA from 1 species
AGGACGAACGCUGGCGGCGUGCUUAACACAUGCAAGUCGAGCGGUAAGGCCUUUCGGGGUACACGAGCGGCGAACGGGUGAGUAACACGUGGGUGAUCUGCCCUGCACUUCGGGAUAAGCCUGGGAAACUGGGUCUAAUACCGGAUAUGACCUCCUAUCGCAUGGUGGGUGGUGGAAAGAUUUAUCGGUGCAGGAUGGGCCCGCGGCCUAUCAGCUUGUUGGUGGGGUAAUGGCCUACCAAGGCGACGACGGGUAGCCGACCUGAGAGGGUGACCGGCCACACUGGGACUGAGACACGGCCCAGACUCCUACGGGAGGCAGCAGUGGGGAAUAUUGCACAAUGGGCGAAAGCCUGAUGCAGCGACGCGCGUGAGGAUGACGGCCUUCGGGUUGUAAACCUCUUUCAGCAGGACGAAGCGCAAGUGACGGUACCUGACAGAAAGAAGCACCGGCUAACUACGUGACCAGCAGCCGC